GUCCCUUGAAGAUACAUGCCCAUUACAGCCUGGUCAAAUGGCAGCCUGUUCCUUUGAGGAUUCUUUUGAAGAUUCUAAGCUAGUUACUUCUUGCUUCAAUUUCUUCUGAUAUGCAAAAGGUAAACAAAAGUAUUGCAAAACUGCGAGUGAGGAUCAUACAGAAAGAUUAUCUCCAGAAAUUUCAAAAAAAAAUCAAAUCAAAUUGGGUCUCCUCCUGCUGUGUGAAACAGAGUAUUUUGAAUUGUGUCUAUUCCCAAAAGCAAUGUUACUAGAAUUGGUCUUCCACUUGAUUACAGAGGCAAAUGAAGAAACACAACUUGUAAAUAUCAAAUAAAAUGAGACUGCUUGAUACAAAUAUUUUACAUUUAUUGGAAGAGUACAGUGAAACGGGGACUGCAGACUCAUUAGUGGUAAGUGGUCCAAAGGAGAAGACAAAGGACUAUUCAAAAAAGGUCUGCAGUUUACAAGAAGACUGAAAAUCUCUUACAUAACAGCCUAGGAAAAUAAAAAGUUAGCUUGAGUUCUAAAGUGUAACUUAAAAGUAUAUAAAAAAUUGGCAAAUAAAUAAAGUUAAAAUGCAGAUCUAUUUAAAAUUAUAAAGGACCGACAACUGGCAACUGUAAAACAUAGUUAUAAUUUUCAGACUUG